GAAAGCUGUCAUCUAAUCGGAAAGAUGCUCGUCUCAUACACGAGAGAAUGAGGGUUCAAAUCCUUCCGGCGUUCUC
rnacentral:tRNA from 1 species